rnacentral:rRNA from 1 species
UGGGAGUGCUCGAAAGAGAACCAUUACACAGGUGCUGCAUGGCUGUCGUCAGCUCGUGUCGUGAGAUGUUGGGUUAAGUCCCGCAACGAGCGCAACCCUUGUCAUUAGUUGCUACGAAAGGGCACUCUAAUGAGACUGCCGGUGACAAACCGGAGGAAGGUGGGGAUGACGUCAAGUCCUCAUGGCCCUUAUGGGUAGGGCUUCACACGUCAUACAAUGGUACAUACAGAGCGCCGCCAACCCGCGAGGGGGAGCUAAUCGCAGAAAGUGUAUCGUAGUCCGGAUUGUAGUCUGCAACUCGACUGCAUGAAGUUGGAAUCGCUAGUAAUCGCGGAUCAGCAUGUCGCGGUGAAUACGUUCCCGGGUCUUGUACACACCGCCCGUCACACCAUGGGAGCGGGUUUUACCAGAAGUAGGUAGCUUAACCGUAAGGAGGGCGCUUACCACGGUAGGAUUCGUGACUGGGGUGAAGUCGUAACAAGGUAGCCGUAUCGGAAGGUGCGGCUGGAUCACCUCCUUUCUAG